CAUACCACACCAUAACAUACCACACCAUAACAUACCAUACCACACCAUACCACACCAUACCACACACAGCACAGGUCUCACCAGGCUGCACCGCCUGGGGGAAGACAGUAUCAUGACAAUUAAAAGAGACAGAGUUAAAUGUCUCCGAGACGACUUCAGAAGGAUGGACCAGGUGAGAAGGUGGACACUGUGGACCAGGUGAGGAGGUGGACACUAUGGACCAGUAGAACUAUACAGUGAGGAGGUGGACACUGUGGACCAGGUGAGGAGGUGGACACUGUGGACCAGGUGAGGCGGUGGACACUGUGGACCAGGUGAGGAGGUGGACACUGUGGACCAGGUGAGGAGAUGGACACUGUGGACCAGUAUAAAUAUACAGUGAGGAGGUGGACACUGUGGACCAGGUGAGGAGGUGGACACUGUGGACCAGUAUAAAUAUACAGUGAGGAGGUGGACACUGUGGACCAGGUGAGGAGGUGGACACUGUGGACCAGGUGAGGAGGUGGACACUGUGGACCAGUAUAAAUAUACAGUGAGGAGGUGGACACUGUGGACCAGGUGAGGAGGUGGACACUGUGGACCAGGUGAGGAGGUGGACACUGUGGACCAGGUGAGGAGGUGGACACUGUGGACCAGUAUAAAUAUACAGUGAGGAGGUGGACACUCAGGACCAGGUGAGGAGGUGGACACUGUGGACCAGGUGAGGAGGUGGACACUCAGGACCAGGUGAGGAGGUGGACACUGCGGACCAGUAUAAAUAUAUUGGUACCAUCUUUGACACCCUGAAGUUUGAGCAAAACAAAACAAGCCAUUAAUUCCUCAGGAAACUGAACUCAGUCAGAGUCCACAAACACCUUCUGUGUUUCUCCUUCUGUGUGUUGCUUCACAUCCCUCUCUGUCAAGAACAGGAAGUGACCUCCAAUUCACUGUGAACAACUGCUGUGAGACCUUCCCUAUGACCAUCUGGGGUACCGUAGGUCUCUCAGACGACCUGGCCUCGUCCUCUGAGCUGCAGGCCAGGAGGAAAAGCCCAUCACAUCCUGGGGGACAGCACAACCCACAGUUCCAAAUCCGCACCCUUGGAUGCCAACCUGCGCUGUCAAGUGCCCUACCAAUAGGAGCGGGGCCUCGUUUCAGCUCGAGGCCGUCCACCUGCAUAACAGGACCAUUAAGGAAGACCUAGGGACGAUUCUAGAGA